CAAUGCAGUUUUGUCCUUUACAAGAAAAUCUGCUCUGCGUUGAGAAGUAAUUCUUUAUUACAUGCACUUUGUAAUAUUAAUUCUCUUUUGGACUGUUAUUUGGGUAGAAAGGGCAGUAACAUUUGAGUUACUUAAUUUGUGGAGUUGUCAUAGGCGGUUGUUAAAAUGUAACUACUAAGUUUAUAAACUGGAUACUUAAUUAUCUCUUAGUGUUCAACUAUUAGUGUGGUAUAUUUUUCAGUGCC
rnacentral:lncRNA from 1 species